CCAUAUUUUGGGACCCUAAGAAACAUCCUACAAGCAGCUCAGGGUGCUUGAUUGGUGUCUCUUGCCAAUAGGAGAAGCUUCUUCCAUGGGUGCAGGACACAGCAGAGUACUCCUGCCUUGUAGAAAUGCUGGAAGAUCAUGAAGGAGCAUACACAGAGCCCUGUUGGUGUUUCCAUCUGUGAUGGUGUUUUCCAUCUGAUGGUUUGUUACGCCUUCCUCAAGUAUUUAACACUGAGUAGUGACAGAGAAUUUAGUGGAGAAUUCAUCAGAGAUGAUCAAGGCAUUCUCAGGGCUGGGCCUAAGUGCAGUAAAAUGCCAUCCUGUUAUUUUCAACACGAAACAAGCAGUUGAAAGCUUGCACACUUGACUGAACUUCCUGAUGCUCACACUGCUAACCAAGAACCGGGCUUCUGCUUUGUACGUCUCACUGAUCUUCACAUAAAACUGUGUCUACAGAGAAGAGGUGUAGGCGAAGUGGCUGAGGGAAGGAAGGAACACGAGUAGUUUUGUGUACAAAACAUCCCUCCUACGCAAAUGGUGCUCUGGGGGUGGCUGCUAUUUUUAGACUCAUUGAAAAACCACAGUCCAAAAAUAAUAAGUGUUACUACAGAUCGUAAAUGUGAGACCAAUGGGUCAAAUCUGAGCUUUCGCUUCUUUAUUAUUUAUUUCUUUUUAGAGUGGAUGCGUGGGCUGAAAAGUUUGAUUGAGUCACUUUGGAGAAUGGAGAGAAGUACGGGAAACAAAUGAGAAUUGUUUUAGAUGUUGAUCUUCUGUUUCAUAGUAACAAUUGAAUGGAACAUAUUAGUAAGGCUUACAUACUGCACACCUACACUUCUGAUUUUUUUAAAGUGUUUUUUGGUUGCUUCAGCCAAGGUGCCAUAAGAGAACCCAGGGUUUCAUUUCACUUUAAUUGCCUGUUUAAAAAUGUGAUCAAACAUGGCAUGAAUUUGUAUGCAACAAGGACUAUUUUUGAAAGAAAAUCGGUACAUUGUAAGUUAAGGAGGGGAAUUCUAGUCUGUUCUACACUCUGCAUUCAUUCCCUAUGAGGACACUUCUGCACUUACCUGGAGAGCUCUUGCAGGAAAUCAAGGAGGUGCCCAACCCUCUCUGCUGUCAUUCUUGCUUACUCCACCAUCAUUCCAGAUAUCAACCAAAACAAUGGACCAAUGGAACCUACAAGUAAGACUAGAAAGUGCUGGUCUGAGUCUCUGGGCACAAGCAUUCUUGUAUAGCAAAAGAUAAAACUGGAGGAAGGAGGGGUAAAAUAAACUUGAAUUAAUAAAGGAAGAUUAUAGUUUAGAUUCUUCUGACUCUCAAGAACUGCUCUUUGUUUUGUUUGGCCUUUCUAUCUCCUUCAUGACACAAAACCCUACAGCUGGAAUUUCAAUUUUCAUUUGAAACAAGGUAGUGUUUCAGCUUUCCUAAGACUGAAGGCUUGGCUCCUACCAAGGCCAUGAUUGUGGAACUGUGUAUUGACUCCAAGUAAUUUUAUGAGUUAUGUCUCUAGUUUGGCUUUUCACUACAACAUUAUGUGCUGGUGUGAUUUUUUUGUUAUUUUACGAUUGUGUUCCUGUUGAUAGUGGUGCCUAUGCAGAAAGGCAUAGAUUGACUCAGCACCCUGAUUCCUGCUGCUAGCAGAGCUCUACUGGAAGCACUUCUCAACUAGUCCACAUCUUGUUCUUCUGUAUAUUUGGCAAUGGACUGAGUAUAUUUCCAACAUCUCGUGGUUGUAAAUAAUUCCGGUCAUUUCAGCAAAUGCUGCCACUCAUUAGAUCUGGCUUCUCUGAACACCCAGCCUGUGAGGUCAGUGUAAGACUCCUUCAUCCUGUGAGUGAUGUGACGUUUUCAGUUACAGGCAUUAGUCACACCCACUCACCAACAUUUAGUUCUGAGUGGUUCUCUCCCACUCUUCCUCAUUCUUUUACUCACAUUUUCUGUCUUUUCAUUUCCAGACAGAUUUGAUUUGGAUACUACAGUUCCUGUGAGCUUUGAGGUGGACGCAACCCACCUGGAGGUUUGAAGGAAGUCUCAACUGGUGUUACUGCAGGUCAGGCUGCCACCCAUUGCACUGACAACUACUGUGGGUGUCAAA